AUUGAACGCUGGCGGCAUGCUUUACACAUGCAAGUCGAACGGUAACACGCUUACGGGUUCUUCCGAGUGGCGAACGGGUGCGUAAUGCAUCGGAAUGCACCCAGAUGUGGUUUUUCACGGAGCGAAACCUGUGCUAAUACCCCAUGUUAUCUGAGGCUGACAGCGGGUGACCACGCAGCAAUGUUUGGCCUUGCGCCUUUGGAUCGGCCGAUGUCGGAUUAGGUAGUUGGUGGGGUAAAGGCCUACCAAGCCGACGAUCUGUAGCUGGUCUGAGAGGACGACCAGCCACACUGGAACUGAGACACGGCCCAGACUCCUACGGGAGGCAGCAGUGGGGAAUAUUGGACAAUGGGCGCAAGCCUGAUCCAGCAAUGCCGCGUGGGGGAAGAAGGCCUUCGGGUUGUAAAGCGCUUUUGUAGGGAAAGAAAAGGAUCUGGCUAAUACCUGGGGCUGAUGACGGUACCGAAAGAAUAAGCACCGGCUAACUACGUG
rnacentral:rRNA from 1 species